AUCAUCUUCUCAACAAAUGUCUAUGCCUGCGACCCUGGGAGAACGAGAACGCAUGUAAAAAGCUAUGGGUGGGAGCUCCAUGACCGCAGGGGAACACCCACAUAGGAGUUGAUUCUAUGGAGCCUAAUUCUAUAGAUUCAGCAGCUUCUUUAUUUCUCAAAGCAGGUAUUCCCCACAUCUGUAGGAGAUGGAAGGGAGAGAGUCAGAGAAAGAAGAGUCCCAGGCAAGCAAGAAGCUGCGGGAGAAUGUGCAGCAAUAAAUUCAAGUGCCAUUUGCUCAUCACCAACUCUCCGGCUCAGGUAUGAAGAUAAUAACAGUAGUCAUUAUUAUCAUCAUAGUGAGC
rnacentral:lncRNA from 1 species